AACGUGCCCAGUCGUGGGGGAUAACGUAGCGAAAGCUACGCUAAUACCGCAUACGAUCUAUGGAUGAAAGCGGGGGAUCGCAAGACCUCGCGCGAUUGGAGCGGCCGAUAUCAGAUUAGCUAGUUGGUGGGGUAAAAGCUCACCAAGGCGACGAUCUGUAGCUGGUCUGAGAGGACGACCAGCCACACUGGAACUGAGACACGGUCCAGACUCCUACGGGAGGCAGCAGUGGGGAAUUUUGGACAAUGGGCGAAAGCCUGAUCCAGCAAUGCCGCGUGCAGGACGAAGGCCUUCGGGUUGUAAACUGCUUUUGUACGGAACGAAAAAGUCUGCCCUAAUACGGUGGGCUCAUGACGGUACCGUAAGAAUAAGCACCGGCUAACUACGUGCCAGCAGCCGCGGUAAUACGUAGGGUGCAAGCGUUAAUCGGAAUUACUGGGCGUAAAGCGUGCGCAGGCGGUUAUAUAAGACAGAUGUGAAAUCCCCGGGCUCAACCUGGGACCUGCAUUUGUGACUGUAUAGCUAGAGUACGGUAGAGGGGGAUGGAAUUCCGCGUGUAGCAGUGAAAUGCGUAGAUAUGCGGAGGAACACCGAUGGCGAAGGCAAUCCCCUG
rnacentral:rRNA from 1 species